ensembl:lncRNA
CAAAGAUUCAACUAAAUUACGAACAAACAAACAGGAAGUGACCUUCUUAUCUUUAGAGGUAAAGUCAGAUUUAUUUACCUUUGGAAACCAGUUUCUAACCUUCAUGCAACGCUAAAAAUAACCAGUUCUUGUUUGUAGCUUCAUUUGACAAUUCCUCAAACUUUAGUUUCACACAAUGUUCCAAGAAAACAUGAUUUCAGGACCCAUCCACCAACAAUUUUGGUCAUUUUGUGUCAUAUUUGGGCUGUUUUAUGCAUUUUAAUGCUCAUUUUGCAGCACAUUUUGUUAUUUUUUCUCAUAUUUUGGUAAUUUUGUGUCAUAUUUUGUUUGUUGUGCAUCUUUUUGUGUUCAUUUUCAAUCACUUUCAGUCAUUUUGCAUCAAAUGUUGGUUGUUUGGUGUAAUAUUUUGGUUGUCUUGCAUCUUUUUGUGUUCAUAUUAUAUCAUCUUUGGUCAUUGUGCACCAAAUUAGAUAAUGUUGCAUCAAAUUUUGUGUCAUAGUUUUGUUGUUUUACAUCGUUCACUCACAUUUUGUUGGAUUUAUUUACCUCUGGAAACCAGUUUCUAACCUUCAUGCAACGCUAAAACAACCAGUUCUUGGUUUUAGCUUCAUCUGAAAAUUUCUCAAACUUUAGUUUCACACAAUGUUCCAUGAAAACACGAUUUCAGGACCUUUAAAAUGUUUAAACUCCAGAUCGUGGCGAGUUCUUCACUUCAGAAGUGAGACGAAUCUUUUAUUCUCUAAGUCUGAAGAAAAUCCUGAACAAGACGUUGCUUUUCUUAGUUUUUUUUAGUUUUAUCCACCAACAAAACAACAGCCGCUCACUGUCACAACACCGCAGUCACACUUUAAAAACAGACCCAUCUCCAUAAACCGGCUCCGUUCCAGUGUUAGUUUCUGUUUCAGAGAAAAGACGUCCGGCUGCCGUUUUACAUUCAGAGAAAAGAAAUAAACACACAGAGACGAGCAGCUUCGACAUCUUCUUCGUAUUUACAGCAGUUGCUUGGAUGAAGCUCGGCCGAGUAGCAUAAAAAUACGUUUCUAUCUAAAUAGAGCCUUACACAAAAUAAUUAGAAAACAUAGAUCUGCUUCUGUUCACAUUGUUUAGACAAAAGUUCAGGCACGAUUUCUUGGUUGGGGGAUCCUGUGCAGAGCGGCUCAUGCUGCUGAAAAUCACAUUCCAGGUAAACAGGAAACAGGAAGUGCACAGGUAAAGUCGCCGAGGGUUAGUUCCUGUAAAAACCAAGAGAAGAAGAAGAAGAACCCUGCAGCUUGUAUUUACAGCAGCUAACUGAGCCAAUAAGACGACAGAGCAUUACCAAACAGAGGGAAAUGAAGAGACGCUGAGCUACAGUUGGUGCUACGAGGAAGUUAAAGGAAACAAGAAGGAACCAAACACAGAACUCAAGAUGGAACUUCCAAACAUAUCUGAGAAAAAAAAGCCAAAAUGUGACAGAAUUCCUCCUCAGAACUUUUCUCGCCGUCAGCCAAGAGGUAAUUUGGCAAAAAGCUGACUUUUAUACGACCUGCAGAAGGAGAAGAAGCUUUAUGUUGAAGGUCUGCUGAUGUGAGAAGGUUCAGUCUGUAGGCACUGAGUAAAGCUGUUAGUCUACAGACGUUGUGCUUAGUAGAGUUAAAGACAAACACAGUUUUAUGGGUUAGAGUUGGUUUUUGCAGAGCAGAGAAGAAAGAAAAAGGUGGAACAAAAAGACGUUAACGUUGGACGGACAUCUGGAGAUCAUUUCAUAUAAAAUCAUCAAAAACUGAAUGAAGUUUACCUCCUCAGAACAUCUGGUUCUUCAUCUCCAGUAACUUUAUCAAUGAUCAGAGUUCUACCGUCAUACUGGGAAUAUUUCCAGAGUUCCAGGUCCUUGAAGUCCAAAGAGGAGAACGUCCCCUGGAGAAAGUCCUAGAGUAGACCUACCGACAACCGGACAGUUGUUCUCCUUUCUUGCUUUCGGUCUUUAAGUUUAGUCUCACUUAGAACUUCCAGGUCCUUGAAGUCCAUAUAACCGGGUCCAGAUUUAUAAUUUUUUAAUGGACUUUUUCCAUCAUUUCUGAUCCUCAGAAC